UACACAGCGUUGAAGGAGAAAAGUAGCAGGCCUGAGCAGGUUCAGAGAGCUGCCGUUUGGUGCGAGGCAGUCCAGCUAUCUUGUGAAGAUCACCCCUGAGCUUUCGGCUAAACAGCUGGGAACAGAUUUCCGGCUUAGUAGGUUUGAACGGCUGAUAACCGUUAUAUUAUCCCAUAUUGUUUGAUAUGUGGGCGGAGCGGCUGGUUUUGCCAGCAAGAAGAGUGGUACCGCAGAGGAUUUUAACCUUUGUCUCUUUA
rnacentral:ncRNA from 1 species